GAGUUAGCAGGCUGGUCAUGCCACAAGUAUGUACUGGUCUUACUGAUCCUCCUUCCUGAUGAACUGUAAUGCCAUUAAUUUAGUGUUGCAGGAAGUCUGGACUGUUACCUUGAAAAAAUUAGUGUGUUUAAAGUAGGUUAACGCUUGAAUACAUUAGCAUGGAAUAAUGAAAUAGGACGUUAGAUUCUAUUUUGAGGUUAAUGUA
rnacentral:rRNA from 1 species